AAGUCGUAACAAGGUUUCCGUAGGUGAACCUGCGGAAGGAUCAUUAUCAAAAGUCGGUCGGGAGCCCUUGUGGCUGCCGUCUACACCCAAGUCUUUUGUGUACUCUUUGUUUCCUCGGCGGCGUAAGUCGCCGAAUGGACAAACCAAAACCUUUUUGUAAUUGCAAUCAGCGUCAUUAAAUAUAAUAAUAUUUACAACUUUCAACAACGGAUCUCUUGGUUCUG
rnacentral:misc_RNA from 1 species